rnacentral:lncRNA from 1 species
GCACAACUGCACUUCACACAGCAAGUGUUUUCGCACACAGUCCUGUCUGAAACACUCGCGAUGUCGCUGUACCCGUCUCAGAUGAAAGCUUUCAAAAGCGCCGAGCCCAAAACCCUCGGGGCAGUGGAAAUGAUAAUUGGCACGCUGACAGUCAUUCUGAGCACUAUCGUCUAUAAACUGCACUACCAUAUCCAGCGGGAGAUCAUCAUCCUCAUCAUAAAUGGUGCUCAGCUCCUUAUUACUGGAAUUGUGUUGGUGCAUGCUGGCAGGAAACCUACUAAAUGCCUGGUGGGUACAAACAUUGUUUUGCAGCUCCUGACCGCAGCGUUUGAUAUUGUUGGAUUUGGUCUCAUGGCCAGGCAUAUUCCUUUCCGUGGGGAGUCUUAUUAUUACAGAGACACUGAGUUUUUGGUGAAUGGGAUUUUGUGCACUCUGAUUGGUUGCUUGGUGCUGGCAUGUAUUAUUGGUCUGGUCGUGGCACUUUUUGGUGUGUACGCCCUGUCUGUCAGUGCUAUUAAGGUAAGUGCAAAAAACAUGUUUUCAGGGUUGUUUUCAGGUCUGUUUGUGUAUUGGUCAAGGUUACUGCAACUCACAUGUUUGGAUAAUGAAGGUUAACCCUGUAUAAUGUGUAUUUAUGCAGUAGCUGGGCUAAAGCCAUCAAAUUCUGAUGUAAACUAAACUUGUUAUUGAGUUAUUUAGCAGCUUUUAAGGUUAUAUUUCUCCUCCAUCUAUGCCUUCAGGACAUGACACCAAUUCCGAACGCCACAGGAAAUCCACAGUUCAGUGCUGGAGGACACACCAGGUCUGCAGUGCAUGAUGGCAACUGACAAGAAUAAGCACAUUUACAAGAUAAGAUCAACAAUUUCAGCACAGUUUCACACCAAUCAAAAAAAGAUUGUUUCACCUACAAAAAACACUCACAGUAAAAAAAAAAAUCUUUUGUGACAGUGUUAAGAGUUUGUAUGUAGGUAAAGCUGGCUAGCUGUCUACUGUUUGGCUACCUUCUCACAUUCAGGCUCAUGCAAUUUUGAUAGCUUAGCUAUAGCUUAGAAUCGCUGCUAGAACCGCAUUCAUUUUGCACCGAUAGGCAAUAGUUUCUUUGCAUGAAAAUGUAGAAGCAAUAAUUAGCAUUAUGCGCGAAUGCUGUAUGAUUGUUUGAAACUGUCAGGGUUCAAAAUAAGAGAUUACUCUCAGAACCUAUAUCUGUACUGGACUACAUCUGUUUGAGAAACACAGAAGAGCUGUGGUUUGGUAACAAUGGGCCUCAUUCAUGAACCAUGAGCAGAACACGUAAAUCAUAUACAAAAACACUUGUAAAUGCCCACAUUAAAGUGUACAUAGUCUCUGUUCGUAAGUACAAACUAAAUUUGCACCUGCUUCUGGCCACGUGUAAAGUGUGUAUAACAUUUUGGCACACUAUUUGGCAUGCUGUCUUUAUGCACUUUAGUUUAAGUGGAAUUAACAAAUUAUUUUAAAAAAUAAAAAUAAAAUGACACCUGUCA